ACUGCACCUUUAUUUCUCUGUUUCCCCGGAAUUCUCAGCUGCCAAAACCUGAAAUAAUUUUUUAGGAUGCUGGUUUCUGAUUUAAUAUCUUAAACUUGCUGCAGAUGUUGGGGAUGUGCGCGCAUCUGGUUAGUGUUGCUGUCAUAAACGGUCCUCAUUCAAUUACUGGAAAUGCGGUUGGAUUCAAACCCAAUAUAUUGGACAUGGACAUAAUGGAAAGAGUUAUUGAGAUGCUGAGUUUAGAGAUACUGGAUUGAAACGGUCUGAAAAGUUGGCAAAAGAUUUGGAGUGGUUGAAGGAGCAAGGCCAUGCCAUACCAGAACCUUCUGCUCCUGGUGUAAACUAUGCUCAGUAUCUUAAGGAACUGUCGGAGAAGGAUCGUCAAGCAUUUUUCUGCCACUUCUACAAUAUGUACUUUGCUCAUUCAGCUGGUGGACGAAUGAUUGGGAAAAAGUUGUCCAUUGAGGAGUAGAGGAGAACGCAGACAUCAUGCCUAGAAUUAAGGCUGCCAAGAAUUUUCUUUUCUCAUUAAGUGGUUGGAUUAGAAUUACUGUUAUUGUAUAUUAAUUUUAAUAUUUUUUUUAAUUUGAAAUAUUGGCAGUCACUAUUUUUCAGAUUGGUGGGUGUAUUGUAUAUUAUAACAAUGCAAAAAUCAAGUCACCAAUAAAUACAUCAGAUUGCUGUCUAGUUGUGGGACCCACAAUUUGUAAGUCACCAAAAAAGUAAUAGUGACAUCUUGGGUAUAUGUCACGGCAGCAAUGGGCACCAUUCACUAAAUGGUAACUAGAGGGGUGUCUAUUGCUCUUCAACACCAUUGAUUGGUGUCUAUAGAUCCAAUACACACCAUUAUCAAUGGUGUUCUUAGGUCAGUUUUGUG